rnacentral:rRNA from 1 species
GAUGAACGCUAGCGGCAGGCCUAAUACAUGCAAGUCGAACGGAAGCAGCAAUGCUUUAGUGGCGAACGGGUGAGUAACACGUAGGGAACCUACCUAUACGACGAGGAUAACUACUGGAAACGGUAGCUAAAACUGGAUAGGAUCAAUUGAGGCAUCUUGAUUGAUUUAAAGAUCCUUCGGGAUUACGUAGAGAUGGCCCUGCGGCGCAUUAGCUAGUUGGUGAGGUAACGGCCCACCAAGGCGACGAUGCGUAGCUGAGCUGAGAGGCUAAACAGCCACACUGGGACUGAGACACGGCCCAGACUCCUACGGGAGGCAGCAGUAGGGAAUUUUCGGCAAUGGGGGAAACCCUGACCGAGCAAUGCCGCGUGAACGAUGAAGGUCUUCGGAUUGUAAAGUUCUGUGAUUGGGGAAGAAUGGUAUUCUUAGGGAAUGAGGAGUACAUGACGGUACCCGAUUAGAAAGCCCCGGCUAACUAUGUGCCAGCAGCCGCGGU